rnacentral:sRNA from 1 species
AAUAUAUCAUUAAUCUAUAAAUUAAAAGUUGAAGAGCUUACAUUAAUUAUUCAGUGGACACAUGGCAAAUGUUAAAGUGAUGAUGUGUCAAUCAUAUGGAGAGAAUUGGUCAACUUUCAUAUAUAUGAUUUAUCUCACAAAAAUACUAUU